rnacentral:lncRNA from 1 species
UGUUUGAGAGAGAAAAUUGUCUUGAGAGAGAAUUCUUAGUAGUUAAUAAAAGAUCAAGCUACAGACUUGGAUCAUUGAUUCACUGUGUUUCUUUGCACAGAGGUCUAUAAAAAUAAGAAUGCCCAUGUCUUUUAGGCAUCUCAAUGUUUUUUGCAUGUUUAUAUCUAGUUCCCAAGCCUGACGUCAUCUUCUUUGAUGCGUAGGGUGAUGAUGAAUAGGAUGAUAAGUAAUAACACUAUGGAGAUUUAAAUUAGAGGCAAAACUUUCCUUCUUUAUUAUUCAUUAUCUUUAUUAUUAUAAGAUUCAGAUCUAGAGGGUUCUAAUAUGUUUCUUCCUUCAAAAUUUAUGAUUACUACUUUGUAUGAUAUUAUUAAAUUUUAUUAUGAUAAAAUGAAUUAUUAAAAUUCAUUAUUAACUCUGUCAUUGGUGAGAAAUCAUAAUUUUGUACUUAAUAGCUCAGACUCUAGAGCCAGAAGAUAAGGAGUUGAAUCCUGGUUGCAUCUUUCACUACCUUUUCCACAUUGAGCAUGUUAUUUAGCCUUUCUAAACCAUUGUUACCUCACAUGCACAAUGGGAUAAUAAUUUGUACCAGCCUCCUAGGAUGGAGUAAAAUAAUAUAGUCAAUUUUCUUGCUGAGCUCUCUCCUUUUGAUUAUUUCAUAAGACAGAGGAGGCAUCUUUUCUGUGUCCUUCUUCAGAAACACUAAAACAUCCAGAGAGGGACAGGUUCUCAAAAUUAGGUUUCAUACUGUCAUAUUCAACAUGCGUCUAUCUUGCACAGCUAAAGACCAAACCACAGUUUCACAUAAACCUUUUCCCAGUCAAAGGUGGUUGUUCAUUUAUUAAUGCAAAUGCCUUGUGCCUUGGGUGUGUGAACCCUAAAAAUAUACUUCCAGGGAUAAAAAUAGAUCUCUUCAGAGUUCUGAGAUGCUGCUUAAUCAGAACCAGCUGCAAGCUGUCUAGAAAAUGCAAGUUAUAUGAGCCAGAUGGCUUUUGCCCUUUUUGCUUUAGACAGCAUGUAAUUUGGAUAACUACAGCUACAGUAAUACAUUUUGCCAGUCACACUGUUUGAUAAACAUAUUUGUUGAGAACAGCCACUUCCAAUUAGAGACCCAGUAAAAUGUUAAUUUAUUUUAAUAAUUUUUCCCUCUAGGGUAAGACAAAGCAGACUUUUAACAGGUUACAGAAAUAUCUGUUUACAGGAGAGAUUACUGUUCAAGGUUUAUUGUAUGCCAGUGGUUGUUUUUCAGUUUGGCGUUUAAGUAAUGAUGGGGAGUAUUCAUGACUUACCCCUCCAUUUUCCUUCUUAAAAUCUAGUGUAUUGAUGAAGUAUGGUGAUUUUUCCAUAUUUUGUAAUUAUGUUUGCUUUAUCUGUAGAAGGGUGGUUUGGCUAGUUUUCAACUUUCUUCUAUACAGAUCUAAUUACUACAAACUCUGAUAAUAGGUAUUGAAUUAUUGUUUGUCCAUAGACCAUUAUCAAUGUGGUAUUUCUGGGGUUUUUACUUUUAUUACCAUGUUCUUUGAGAAGAAACUUUAUUAGCCUGAUGUAACCAUGACUGACUUUUAUCUACUGAAGAUGAUUGUAAACAUAGCCAUUGAUAUUAGCUUUUUAAUUUCAUCCAGCUCUGAAUAAGCUCAGGUAAAAUAGAAAAGCUAAGUUUUUAGGGCUAUUCAAACUCCUAAGACCUAAGCUCAGGUCUAGCCCGCUUUUAAGACUUUUUGAAACUAGCAGUUCUAUUUUAGCUGGUGGCACCACUUCUUGGAAAAGCAUUUUGAAACCCUGGUCUCCCAUUACACGUGAUGAAGUAUUCUCUACUUUAUUUCUUGAGACAUCUACCAAGCAGCAAAUAAUUGAUUGCUAAGUACCUCUGAAAGAUCUCCUAUGUCAUAAAUUUUCCAUAGUUCCAAGGCUUCCAGCAAUGUAAGUUUAGGAGUCCCUCAGUAGUUUUUUGUUUUUUGUUUUUUGUUUUUUUUCCCUUCCUUCUUACCCAGUUUCAAAAGGAGAGGGUAUUUCCUCUAUAGGAUUAGUGGUAUUAGAACAUAAACUUCACUAUAAUAGUACCUACAGGUUUCUUUACUCUUCCUGUAAUACUGGGAACUCUGAUGAUCAUUUUAUACAUUACUGCAUCUAAGCAUCACAACAACACAACAACACAACAACAUUACAUGGUGCAUAUUUUUAUCCUCUUUUACAGAUAAGGAAGCAGUGGCUCUGGAGUAUAAUUAUUCACAUCAUACAGAAAGUGUCAGAGUCAGAAUUUGAAGCUACACUUGUUUCAAUGGUCUGUCUGACUCAUUGUCUUUAAUUCCACCCAUUAAACUCUGAAAAGUGGCAUUUGACUUAGCCAGAGCUGUUUUUUUUUUUUUUUUUUUUUUCUUCUCCUCAGAGAUAAACACAUGGCUCUGCCCAUCCUUAUAUCACAGUGAUACUUCUUGGAAUUUAUUUUAAGCUCAGAUUAAUAUGUGAAAUGGCCUAAUCUCUCUCACUCCACUUCAUUAGCUACACCAUAAAUGAUGCACUUUAAAAGUAAAAUUCACAUAAAUGAAGAAAAGCUCAUUUUGGUGCUUCUCCAAUACGUAGAUAAUUCUGCUGGCAUGUAGUACUUGGAGAAACUGUGUAAUCACUUGUGUGAUACGAAACAGCAAUAGGAAGCUAAUGUUUGUAAAACUUAGCUAAGCUAAAUCCUACUUUUUUGCCUUUAUCUAACAGACUAAUAAGAUAAAGAAAUUCAGUAAUGAAUGCAGCAGGUUGUAUCUACAUACUGUGUCACAUGCAGCAGGAGAAAAGCAAAACAUUAUUUAUAAAAACUUCUUGGUUGUGGCUCUGUCUGCCCAAAGUAAACUGAUGGAUCAUGGAAAAGAUGUUAUUAUUUCUGUUUGGGGAGAUUAUAUUAUUGUGAAUAUUUACAUAUGGAAGCAUAUAAUGGUACUUCUUGACAGAUAAUAUAAAAUAGUAGAAAAACUUUUAUGUAAGUACUGUGGUUUAAUAACGGACCUAUGCUGUCUCUCAGUGAGUAGUUGAUGUUAUUUGUUGUUUUCCCAAAAUGAAAGGGAGAAAUGGAUCAAAAAUAUUACUUUCUAAUAAACUGAAUAUUUAUAUUCUAUUCUACAACAUUAUAUUUAAAUAUUUACUUAGCCCUUUUUUCAUAUCUCACACAAUUAUAGUCAUUUAAGAUGCAGAUUUAAACCGAAAUCUGAUACUUGCUUGGCCCAAUUGAAAAAGCAUCUUAUCAUUAGAUGAGAGACAUUAUACAUGGCCAGGAGAAAGUUUCAGUUCUUUCUUUUCGUUGGAUAAAUAGAACUUGGAAUGACCCAAAAAGGCUGAUUUAGUGAGUUCUCUGAAACCGUAUGAGGUGUUGACAUUGGCGCAAUGCAAAGAGAAAGGAUCCAUGAAAAUCAAUCUUUGCCAAGUUUAUCCAUGUUUAUGCUAAUGUGGGUCAAUUUUCCUUUUUCAGUAUAAGAAGGUUUAGUAGUUUAAUAAUCAGUACACUUUGUUUAAAUUAUUUAAUAAGGAAGUAUUGAGCAUCUAAGGAAGUGAUUUGUCCUUGUCCUCAAAGAGCUUUAGGCACUUGGCAACAAAAGGAAGCAUUGUUCUUGUGUGACUUAAAAUGUGGUCCCAGAAUAUUGUGACUUCUGGAGGUUAGUGACUCCAAAGAAAGUAAAGUAGAUGAAAGGAAACCUUUUAUUCUCCUUAUUCUAUGUGAGACUUACAGCCUUUGGCUUCCUGAAAAAAAGACAAGUAUUGGCCUGAAAAUGUAUGUUAUAUAUACCCUUGGGCUCCAUUGGUGUAUUCCAAGCUGUUAUUAUCAAUCAGAUACAUAAAUAUUUAGACAGUUUUUGAAACACUUCUUAUUCCUUGAAAAGAGAGGUGCCACUUAUCUUGGCACAUCAGAUUAAUAUGUAAGAUGGCUUUCCAGAGUUGUGUUAUUUCUUCACUAUGACUUCUCUUGUCCUGCAAUUCUUCCAAAGGCCUGUUACCCCUGUUUUCAUUAGAUAACUAUGAUUGUAUUUCUAGGUGUGAAGCAGUAUGAGUGUGUAUAUGUGUGUUUUGGGGUGAGGGUGGGGAGUGGAAGGGGAAAUGAUGAGGAGAGGAGAGGAGAGGGAAGAUUGAAUGAUUGAAUGAUUUGUUGGUUGAAAUGAAAGGAGCUUUUUUUCUGAAAAAUUUACAGCUGUUGUUGAAAAGUUUACCAAAAUCGCAUUACUUUUAAUGGAUUUCAGUUAUUUAAAUCUCUUGCUUUUUAAAGAUAAGCAGCAGGGAGUUCUUGUCUUGGCUUAGGGGAAACAAAUCUGACUAGUAUCCAUGAGGACAGGGGUUCGAUCCUUGGCCUUGCUCAAGCGGGUGAAGGAUCUGGUGUUGCUGUGAGCUGUGGUGUGGGUCACAGAUGCAGCUUGGAUCUGAUGUUGCUGUGGCUGUGGCAUAGGCUGGCAGCUAGCCUGGGAACCUCUAUAUGCUGCAGGUGUAGCCCU